rnacentral:rRNA from 1 species
UACGGAGGGGGCUAGCGUUGUUCGGAAUUACUGGGCGUAAAGCGCGCGUAGGCGGAUCUGCAAGUCGGGGGUGAAAUCCCGAGGCCCAACCUCGGAACUGCCUUCGAUACUGCGGGUCUCGAGUCCGGGAGAGGUGAGUGGAAUUCCUAGUGUAGAGGUGAAAUUCGUAGAUAUUAGGAAGAACACCAGUGGCGAAGGCGGCUCACUGGCCCGGUACUGACGCUGAGGCGCGAAAGCGUGGGGAGCAAACAGG